rnacentral:lncRNA from 1 species
CUUUUUUUUUUUUUUUUUUUUUGUCGUUCUCGUUACGUACGAUACAGUAGUUUGUCCCGGAUUAAUAACUACGACAUAUUGUACGCGUCAUUAUUAAUCAGGUUUGACGAAAAUAUUGUAACUAUCAUAAUAAGUACCUAUUAUUUUGUAUAAUAUUAUAGUUAUUGACGUUACGGGGUAACUCCUGGUGAACGCGUUUAAUACGGUUUAACAUAUUUUGCAUUGUACUCGUGGUAGCUACGCGGUAAACAAAUAAAUUUGCCGGGGUUUUGUUCGGUUUUUUUUUUGGAAGACCGAAAUAUUUGUACGAACCAUUUUACGGAUAUCUCGAGAUUAGACGGAGAUGAUUAGAGUACAAAAACUGAAACACCAAAAAAAAAAAAUUUUUUUUUUUUUCUUUUCUAGACUAUAAUGCGUGUUACAUAGAUUUUUAAGAAAAAUUACACUCAUUAUAAUAAUAUUUAUUCGUGUUGUAAUAAUAAUAUAGUCGAAAAGCAAUAUAUAACGUAACGUACUCGUCUGCUCAAAUAAUACAUAUUAUUUAUUAUAAUAAUAUUACAUGUAUACUGAAAAAAAAAAUUAUUAGAAACAGAAAAAAAAAAAAAAAAUGUUCGAAACAUUAUUAAAAACUUAAAGAUAUUCUCGUUUUAAUUACGUAUUACUAUUAUUAUUAUUAUUAUUAUUAGAUACUUUUAUUGUAAUAAUUCGUGUCGCCGACGCGUGAAAAAAACACCGAAACUGUUUUUAUUGAUUUUAUUUAUUUUUUUUCGUUUCUAUCUCUGCUAUCUCUUUUUUUCCUACGAAUAUUAAAAAAAAAAAAAAACUGAAAGAAAAAAAACCUAUUCGUUUAUUAAUUCUGUAUAAUAAAACAAUAUUAUUAUUAUCAUCAUUAUUAAUCGAUCGUCCGAAAAUCGUUUUCGUUUUUCGGACUCUCCCGUCGUGUAAACUUAAGAUUUUCGUUUCGUUUCGGUUUUUUCUUUUUUUUUUUUUUUCUUUAUACAUUUAAGGAAACUAUAUAUAAUAUGGUAAUAAUAUUUUUUAAGUACGUAUUCGAAAAGCAAUAAAAACUGUAGAGGCGGAGAAACGGGAGGUCCGAGCCGCGCAAAAUAUGCGGACGAGCUCGCCUUCCGGGAGCCUCGCUGGUAGAGAGUAUAUUAUUAUUAUUACUAAUAUUAUGGUUAUGUAUUAUGUAUUAAGUAUGUAUUAUUAUGUAUCGUAGAAGCAAUAAUUUUUUGUGAAAUCCAUAGCAAUAAAAUAAUUAUAAUAAUACAAUUAUUAUACGAAAUAUUUAUAAUUAAUACAAUUAAAAUUAUAUUAUAUUGUACACGUUAUAUUUAACAUUGUAUACCUACUUGUGUAUUGCGUAUAUCGUUUGGUUCUGUUUUGUUUUUUUUUUAAUAUUUUGUCGAAUUAUUAUGUACGCGCAUAUGCAUACGCGUAUUUCAUAUAGGUAUCGCCGUAAGUAAUAAAUACGUAUUGUUAUCAUUUAUCCCGUAGUACAUCCGUAUGGAAGUAAUUUUGCCAGUUUUUUUUUUAAAAAAUAUCGGACGGAAUGUCGUGAGAAGAAAAAAACAGACAAAAAUUAGAGAUUCGAAAACUCGGGAACCUCGGCGAAUUAAAAAAAAAAAAAAAGAAUAAAACAGCACUCUCUCCCGCGGGGUCGCGUACAGAACCCCACGCAGCGUAUAAUAUAAGGGCGGGAGUUUUUUCUUUUUUCUACAAAGAACUAGCGUAGCGAUUUAAUUUCGCGCGAUCGGAGAGGUUAGUGGUUAUAUCCCUCCCCAGUUGGCUUAAAAAUACAAAUAUAAUAGCAAUCUAAUCUCGAAAUGCAUAUAUUUCAGCCAAGUUACGAGGCAAAGCUUGAUGUGUGGAUUACGAAUUGCAGAAUUUUUUUUAGGAUCCGGCUUUUUAAUUACCCAUUCCCAUACGUAUUUGGGUAGAGAAGACGAUUUUACGAUUUAUUCACGAUUAUUGUUUGCUACAUCCCCUCCCGUCGAAAAUUCCUGACCACGCUGUACCGGACGAUUCGAUUAACACUGCAAUGACACGACGAAUGUCGCGACAACGAGACGGGCUUUCACACUAUAUCAACAUGUUUCGAUGCAUUUCUUAUUGCGCGAGAAGCAAAUAUUUAUCGCGAAACCGAAAAAAAAAAAAAGUCCCCGGGUCCUAGAUAUCUUUUAGGAAGGAGUGACGGAUCAUCCACGUCGCCCCCGCGUCCAACCCCCGCCCCCUUGAAAAAAGCACCGGUUCGGACGUGGUUAUAUUUUCGAAAGACGCGUUAAUAAUGCUAUCUGUACCCGCGGAACCGGACCGAAACUACAACUGCGGUUUAUUAUUACGGCAGUAUAGUUUUUGUUUUACGCGAUAUUAUUACUUUCUACGAUUGCUUCGUGAUUGCCGGAAAAUAAAAUACGCUUCGUGCGUGUCGUCGUAGUAGAAAGAAAAAAAAAUUACAAUAGGCGUUUUCGCGUUGGUUCGUUUUUAUUAUUUUUAUGUUGAUUUUAUUUUAGUUUUUUAUUUUUUUCUGAUUCAUAUAUAAUAUAUAUAUUAUAUUAUUAUUAUUGUGUUUAUUGUAUAACGGUUAGGAUUUACAUAUAUAUAUAUAAUUAAGAGAAACAAUUUAGUAAUUUAAAAAAAAAAAUGAAAUUUGAAAAUUGUUAACUCACGAUUGCUUAUGGGAAAAUUUUUUUUAAAAAAAUAGUCGAAUAUAUUACUAUUAUAAUAUAACAAAAUCGAAACGCAGUAGUUUUGCUCAAUAAUUAUUUAUUAUUAUUAUUAUUAUUAUUACUAUAUUAACGGUACGUGUAGAGUUUGUAUGACGGAAAUAUAUGUUAAAAAAAAAAAAACAGAUAUUAACUUAUUUAUAUAAUAUUAUUGAUUUGAAAAAAAAAAAUUAUUGUAAUAGAUUUUAAACGACGAAAUUAUUUUAUUUAUUUAUUUAUUGAUUGAUAUAUUAUUAUAAUAUAGUGAUUAGCGACGAUAAAUUAUAUUGUACGAACAAUUUUCGUGCCUAUAAUAUUGUAUUUAUUUGAUUUCGUGUAGGUUUAACGUUCAAC